rnacentral:lncRNA from 1 species
AAAGUCCUUCUGAUCGUCAACCUCCACUCGACUGUUGUCAUUAGGACCAGUUCGGGGGUUGUCCCAACGAGAAGAAAAACUCCAAGGAAGAGAAGAAGAGGCGAAGAAAAAUUGAUUCUUCUAUCCAUGAAUAGACGAUGGAAGAUCGAUGAUGAAUGAAAGAUUUUUUUGAGGGUUGAAGAACCACCACCCUCGAGCCUUCGGGUGGGAUCGGAGGACGAAAAAAGCCCGAAAAAAAGAAAGGCGGGGG